rnacentral:rRNA from 1 species
GAUGAGCGCUGGCGGCGUGCUUAACACAUGCAAGUCGAACGGAAAGGCUCCUGCUUGCAGGGGUACUCGAGUGGCGAACGGGUGAGUAACACGUGGGUGAUCUGCCCUGCACUUCGGGAUAAGCCUGGGAAACUGGGUCUAAUACCGGAUAGGACGAUGGUUUGGAUGCCAUUGUGGAAAGCUUUUUCGGUGUGAGAUGAGCUCGCGGCCUAUGAGCUUGGUGGUGGGGUAAUGGCCCACCAGGGCGGCGCCGGGUAGCCGGCCUGAGAGUGUGUACGGCCACAUUGGGACUGAGAUACGGCCCAGACUCCUACGGGAGGCAGCAGUGGGGAAUAUGGCACAAUGGGCGCAAGCCUGAUGCAGCGACGCCGCGUGGGGGAUGACGGCCUUCGGGUUGUAAACUCCUUUCGCUAGGGACGAAGCGCAAGUGACGGUACCUGGAGAAGAAGCACCGGCUAACUACGUG